GCUCCUGGUCCUACGCAUAUCACCCAUCACUUGCACGUGCCCUGGUGAGGCUCCAAUCCAGGAUGUAAACACCGCUGAGAGGUAACGAUUCCCACCAAAAGUGGAUGAGUGGGGAGCUGGCUUCAGGAUGAAUGGGGACCACCCAGCCUGGAAGGGAUGCUAGGAUGCCCCCCCAACAUAAGUGUCACUGCUCUGUACUGAGACCCAUUGAGUCUCUGAAGAUCUCUUCUCAACAGUAACCUGUAUGAAAUCAUCAUGUGACUUCACAGGAAAUUUGAUCACAGGCUCAGGUGGAAUAAGUCAUAGUUUCCUCUGGGUGCCCAGCCCUGUUCAUGCUGGCUGUGGCUUCAGAACACUGCCCCUCCAGGAGAAACUGCAAGAGAAAACUGUUCAGGAACAUCUUCAGGUGAGGAAACCAAGACAUAAAAUAGUUAAGACCCGAAGUCAAACGUUAACCCUGAAACAAUCUUCAAAGCCUGCUGAGAACAAAAGAUUGCAUACUCUGUCCUCAGCUUUACUUGCUUGACCUGCUUUCCAACCUGGACUGAAGCCACAGAGCUCAAGAAGUU
rnacentral:lncRNA from 1 species